rnacentral:SRP_RNA from 1 species
GCCCAAGCCCUGUGCACUGCGGUCUCGUGAAUUCCGCCAGGCCCGGAAGGGAGCAACGGUAAGCGAAUCGCCGCAGGUGCCGCAGGUUCACUUGGGUCCC